CUGUUGUCAAUAGAUUUUUAGCAGAUUUUAGAAAUACUAAACAUUGCACUACAGCAUUAAACGUCAUACUGAUCAAAUAAGAGAAACUCAACUGGCGGCAGAGUCCUUGGAGAACGUGGCGUACCCAAUCGACCAGAAAUGUUCAAAUAAUAUGAAAAGCAGUAUGGACAUUUCGACUCCAAUGGACAAUAAAAUUGAAACUCCCAAGCGGAUGUUGAGACCGCGCGCAGGAGGCAAAGUAGUUAAGAACUCAGAGAGAUUGCACACCCAUUGUUAAACAACUUGAAGGGGUAACGUGUUAGGUAUUUGCAUAACGACUAAUUUGAAUUUUAAGAUCAAAGAAGAACUUAAGAAUAAGUUGUACAACACUUGAGAAUAAGAGACAAAAGCAAUGAAGAAGUAACUGUAAUAUGGAAUAACCAGAAUCGGAAUAAAAACCUCGUGUGAAGACAUCACAAUA